rnacentral:rRNA from 1 species
CCUACAAAAGAAGCACCGGCUAACUAUGUGCCAGCCGCCGCGGUAAUACAUAGGGUGCAAGCGUUGUCCGGAAUUAUUGGGCGUAAAGAGCUCGUANGUCGUUUGUUACGUCGGAUGUGAAAACCUGAGGCUCAACCUCAGGCCUGCAUUCGAUACGGGCAAACUAGAGUUUGGUAGGGGAGACUGGAAUUCCUGGUGUAGCG